UCCCUCCAAAGACAACUCUGCAUAUUAGAUAUCCUCAUAUGUCUGUUCCCAUUUACCCUUGCCUACUUUAUUACUGAGCCAUCUGAUUCUAUCUUACUCUAGUUGGUCACUGUCAAAGAACCUACACAUUAUUUCAGUUCGUGCGAUCCUUCAAUUUGCACACUGCCUACCCCAGCUGCCCAAAUGUGGCAACGCUUUUGUUUCUAUGGCAUCUUCUCUGUUACUUGGAAAGACCCUGAGGCCCUGGAUGACUCCAGCACACCCCACCCACGCUUGCUUUGAGUCCAGUUUCUAUGUUGUACUAUGAGGUCAUCUCCCAGGACACUGCUGGGGCCAGCUGCAAUACAAAAGGGAAGCAAUGCAAACUUAAACCAAAAAGCAAACCAAACAGGACAUCAAUUUCAAGCCUCAAGACUGCAACUGUCAGUACAGAGUAACAGACCACAUCAGCCAUUUUUAUAAGAAAAUAUAUGAAGCUAUCAAAUACUAAGUGAUGAGCAGCUCAUGCAUGGCCCACAGUCAGAAGCAGCUUUAUUCUGGCUCUAGCAGCCUGGAGCUGGGAGAAUGCAAUAGAUUGAAGCAGUCACCAUUGCCAGUCAGCUCUGGCUGCUCCCUUCUCUCUGAGGGGUCCAAGUAGAGGAAAAAUCUUGGUCCACAAUACAAGUUCAGCAUCUAGAAAAUCCAGUGUUACUGGCUCCUGGGAUUUAGGAUUCUGAAGCAGAAGACAUUGAAUAAUCAAAUAAUAGAGACAUGAAGAAUUAUGACUUUGUCAAUUAUUUUAUUUCAUUGGAUGAAGAGGCUAAUUGAGCAGGAGAAAAUCGGAUUAUCCCUAACAACUAGUGGCUGUCCACAGUCUGCCAAGUGGGGGGUUCGUGUUGGGAAGCUGCUUCUGCUGCUGCUGGUCUGCCACAGUAAGGUGAGAAAAGAAGUGUCCGGGGGAGCUUCAGAGAUUAAUCAUCCAUUAUGCAUCCUGACUCUGCAAAGGGAAAGCUGGGAGAGCUUUCUAACUGACCAUUAACAUGGGACAAUUGUACUACUUUGCAAUUUUGCCAAAAGCAACAGUGCAGACUGUUUCAAGACUCAAAGGGGCAGCCAUUGUAACAAAGGAUUUAUUAUAACAAAAUACAAUUUAUUUUAUUGUGAACAUUAGAUUUCCCUGAGCACCUGGAAGCUUUGCAUGCAUUUCUCUUGAUUGUGUUCCCCAUUUAAGAGAUGGAAACCUACAACAGAGAAAUUCUGUGACAUGGCGCCUUUAAGAUGCAAGGAAGCUGUGAUGCUCACUAUCUACUGUGAUGCUGACCAACACAGAGAAGCUAGUGGCAUGUAUCUUCCAUGUUGUUCAGGUUCUGGGUCCAGUUUUUCUGAACUACCUUCAGCAAUCCAGCAGGCUCUGCUCCCUUCUCAGUUGCAGUUCCCAUUUAAUUGAACAGAGCUGUCUUCCACAUAAACUUUCUGGAAUCUGA